rnacentral:rRNA from 1 species
GAUGAACGCUGGCGGCGUGCCUAAUACAUGCAAGUCGAGCGAACAGACGAGGAGCUUGCUCCUCUGACGUUAGCGGCGGACGGGUGAGUAACACGUGGAUAACCUACCUAUAAGACUGGGAUAACUUCGGGAAACCGGAGCUAAUACCGGAUAAUAUAUUGAACCGCAUGGUUCAAUAGUGAAAGACGGUUUUGCUGUCACUUAUAGAUGGAUCCGCGCCGCAUUAGCUAGUUGGUAAGGUAACGGCUUACCAAGGCAACGAUGCGUAGCCGACCUGAGAGGGUGAUAGGCCAAACUGGAACUGAGACACGGUCCAGACUCCUACGGGAGGCAGCAGUAGGGAAUCUUCCGCAAUGGGCGAAAGCCUGACGGAGCAACGCCGCGUGAGUGAUGAAGGUCUUCGGAUCGUAAAACUCUGUUAUUAGGGAAGAACAAAUGUGUAAGUAACUAUGCACGUCUUGACGGUACCUAAUCAGAAAGCCACGGCUAACUACGUG